AUUGAACGCUGGCGGCAUGCCUUACACAUGCAAGUCGAACGGUAACGGGUCCUUCGGGAUGCCGACGAGUGGCGAACGGGUGAGUAAUAUAUCGGAACGUGCCCAGUAGUGGGGGAUAACUGCUCGAAAGAGCAGCUAAUACCGCAUACGACCUGAGGGUGAAAGGGGGGGAUCGCAAGACCUCUCGCUAUUGGAGCGGCCGAUAUCAGAUUAGCUAGUUGGUGGGGUAAAGGCCUACCAAGGCAACGAUCUGUAGUUGGUCUGAGAGGACGACCAGCCACACUGGGACUGAGACACGGCCCAGACUCCUACGGGAGGCAGCAGUGGGGAAUUUUGGACAAUGGGCGCAAGCCUGAUCCAGCAAUGCCGCGUGCAGGAAGAAGGCCUUCGGGUUGUAAACUGCUUUUGUCAGGGAAGAAAUCUUCUGGGCUAAUACCCCGGGAGGAUGACGGUACCUGAAGAAUAAGCACCGGCUAACUACGUGCCAGCAGCCGCGGUAAUACGUAGGGUGCGAGCGUUAAUCGGAAUUACUGGGCGUAAAGCGUGCGCAGGCGGCUUUGCAAGACAGAUGUGAAAUCCCCGGGCUCAACCUGGGAACUGCAUUUGUGACUGCAAGGCUAGAGUACGGCAGAAGGGGAUGGAAUUCCGCGUGUAGCAGUGAAAUGCGUAGAUAUGCGGAGGAACACCAAUGGCGAAGGCAAUCCCCUGGGCCUGUACUGACGCUCAUGCACGAAAGCGUGGGGAGCAAACAGGAUUAGAUACCCUGGUAGUCCACGCCCUAAACGAUGUCAACUGGUUGUUGGACGGCUUGCUGUUCAGUAACGAAGCUAACGCGUGAAGUUGACCGCCUGGGGAGUACGGCCGCAAGGUUGAGACUCAAAGGAAUUGACGGGGACCCGCACAAGCGGUGGAUGAUGUGGUUUAAUUCGAUGCAACGCGAAAAACCUUACCUACCCUUGACAUGUCAAGAAUUCUGCAGAGAUGUGGAAGUGCUCGAAAGAGAACUUGAACACAGGUGCUGCAUGGCCGUCGUCAGCUCGUGUCGUGAGAUGUUGGGUUAAGUCCCGCAACGAGCGCAACCCUUGUCAUUAGUUGCUACGCAAGAGCACUCUAAUGAGACUGCCGGUGACAAACCGGAGGAAGGUGGGGAUGACGUCAGGUCCUCAUGGCCCUUAUGGGUAGGGCUACACACGUCAUACAAUGGCCGGUACAGAGGGCUGCCAACCCGCGAGGGGGAGCCAAUCCCAGAAAACCGGUCGUAGUCCGGAUCGUAGUCUGCAACUCGACUGCGUGAAGUCGGAAUCGCUAGUAAUCGCGGAUCAGCUUGCCGCGGUGAAUACGUUCCCGGGUCU
rnacentral:rRNA from 1 species